ACACACCGCCCGUCGCUACUACCGAUUGAAUGGCUCAGUGAGGCUUUCGGACUGGCCCAGAGAGGUGGGCAACUACCACUCAGGGCCGGAAAGUUAUCCAAACUCGGUCAUUUAGAGGAAGUAAAAGUCGUAACAAGGUCUCCGUUGGUGAACCAGCGGAGGGAUCAUUA
rnacentral:rRNA from 1 species